UGAAAAAGUCAAACAAAUUCAUGAACAAGUUGCAUCGCAACGGGAGAUGUUGACAGAAAAUGUGAGCAAGUACAUGAUAAUCAAUUAUACUAUGACGCGGUUGGUGGCACGACAAGAAAAAGAAGAAUUUAUGGACUUGCAUAUGGUUGUUUUGUUGUUAAUGGUCCAACUAAUGAUAACACUUCUGACAAUAUGACCCCAACAUCGCGACCAUCUGACAAUGCUACUUCUGCCAAUGUACAAGAUGAAAUUCAGAAUUUGAAGGCUACAAUUCUCCUUAUGCAACAACGACUUGAUGCUAUUGAUGGCGGGGGAGCGAGUACUUCAUCAUCACCUCCAUCUCAAAUCAAUUGAUUUUAAUAGUUGUUUGUGAAUACUAUUACAAUGUUGUUUAGACUUGAAUUGACUAUUAUUAUGUAUUAAAUGUGGAUUGAUAAUGUAUAAUUACUUGAACUUAAUGUAGAAUUAUAAUAUUUUUCAAUU